rnacentral:misc_RNA from 1 species
CAGAGUUGCAAAACUCCCUAAACCAUUGUGAACCUACCGCUAAACAGUUGCUUCGGCGGGUGGCGGGCUCCUCCCACCAGGGGGGGUCCGGCCGCUGAGCCCGCCGGAGGAAACCAAACUCUUUGUUUAUUACUGGCCUCUCUGAGUAUACUUAGUUUAAAUAAGUCA